CCUCUGGCCUCAACCUCCUCAGUUGCUAGGAUUACAGGCCUGCACCACCAUGCCUGGUUCAACUUACAACUUCUUUUGACUUUGCAAUGGUGUAAAAGUGAUAUGAAUUCAACAUAAACUGUACUUAAACUUUUGCUCUUUUCCCAGGCUGGUGACACAUGGAAUGAUCCUCUCUUGAGAUGCUGGACAGCAGCCAACCAGGGGUUGCUUGCAGUCAACCCUUCAAUCAUGACAGUAAUCUGAAGUGUGCAGUGCAGCUAAACCAGCUUGUUCAGGGAGAAUUUUCCUAAGAGAAGCCAAGGGCGCCAGAGGAAGCAAAGAGGAACUCAAACUAAGGAAGUGGUGCAUCGCCUGGGAAAGCGGAAGAAAAUGCUUGCACCAGAACAUUCCUACCAUCUGAGAGCUGAGGAAAGACCCACCUGGGAUUGUGACCCACAGAUUCAUCCCACCCCCCAGCUUGGGAACCAUGGUUCUCUUCUGUCAUUGCCAACCAUCACUCAGUUCUACAAACUCACCUCCAUCUUAAGUUGUUUUGCCACUCCAACUUAACUUUACCUGAAUUGUUUACUUUAAUAAUUCACUCAGUACUACCCUGAGUAAGGUGAUGACAACACAGAGGGGAAUAAAGGCUUGUUCCUGCAAGGCA